rnacentral:lncRNA from 1 species
CCAGCGGCCCCAUGUGGGCUUGAAUUAAUUUCUCCAAAACCAUGGAAAGUAUGUAUGAGAAUCAAAGCCCUACUGAAGCUAUAAAUGAUCACCACUCUCACAAAAUAGCUUCAGAUAUAAUUCAACAAUGAUAGAUUAAAGCUGCUAAUGCUACAACUUGAAACUCAACCAUUAAACCAUCUAUCAAACCAUACUAAUACACAAUUGGUUCUAUCAGAUUGCAGCCCAGGAACCAUAUAUAUGCUAAACAUUGUAUUAUAAACAUGUUGAAUCCAGAUUUCAUAUACUCCACAGCAGUAACUUUUCAACCCCCCUCUAAAGAACAUUUAUCAUCAAACAAAUAUUACAAUAAACCUUAAUUUGAGUAGAUUGAGACUUCGAAUAAAUUUCCAAAAGAAACUUAACAGCACAGACACUUACCUCCCCUUAAAAUAUGGUCUGGACUCAAAACUUGCAUCUAUGAUGGGCUGAUUUUGCUAACUUUCCAUAGCUUUAAACAAAUCCAAACAAAAAUGUUCAAUCUAACUAGCCUCGGGCUGUAGCAUAUCCAACAGUCCACAUACCCAACAACUACAAUCAUUUUUACAAGACAACAUACUGAAUUUAAACACCCAUUCAAACUUACAAACAAACCUUAAGCUAAUAACAUAAAUAAACAAGCAAACACAUGAAGAAAAGCUAAACUACUAGAGAAGUAAGGGUGAUAACAUAAGAUAACAUUUGAUAAACAUCAUGUCAUGAACUUUCAACUGGACCAUGUAACUUCAGAUUUCUCAUUCUUACACAUCUAGAGGUCUAGGAAGUACCUGAAUACAACAAAAAACAACAAGGGAACAACAUGAGGUUAGGAAGAAAUAGUUACAGUAUAUCAACAACAAUGCAAACGAUUCAAUCCAUGUUGGAGCCCAGAAAUAGCAAAGUAUUGUAAAGUCUUUUGAAAGAAACCUAGAAAAUUGAACUAGUUGAUCAUGGAAAAUAACCUGGUCCCUUUUUGUUUAUUUUUUGAUCUCGAAACUCUCUUAAUGUGUGGGUAUUUAGUGUUUUAGGUGAAAAAGGUAAUGCUGGAAGAUAUUUCAACCAUUUUUGACUUUAGUGUUCUGAUCCUCUUCUAAAAAUUUAGGAAAUGGGACCUUUAUAGAAGAGUUUUAGGCCAUCAGUAAAUAUUUUGCUAUUUAUUAUUUACCCUCUUCCCCAAUUUCAUUAUUUCCCUUCAAAACCCUAAUUUAAUGCAUGUGUUGUUAAGUUAGUCCCUUACCCAAUUUUCUGAAAGCUUCCUUGGGCUGUUACAAAAGAUUCCCCUGCCCAAUUUCCCUAAACUAACCCUUGAACAACUACUAUAUACCUUCGGACAAACUCAACUUAUUAGUCAACUUAAAGCAAAACCCCACCAACCUAUGGGCCUGAAUACUAUAGCCCAAACAUGAAUUUUCAAACUUUGAACGUAGUCGAAACUUUUAAACAAACAAACCUUUGAAUUUUCAGAAGAAAAAGAUUUCAAUGGAGAUGCUCGGAAAUAUUAAAUCAACUAAUUAAUCAAAUUAUACCAAGCAUUGAUACACUAAUUCCCAUUUUAUUGAACGCCAAAAUAAACCCAAAUUGAAGAGGAGGAAGACUUAGAAUCAUAAUCAUGCAAACAGAAUGACUUUAAAACAGUAAAAAGAAAGAAAAGAGAAGAAAUAGAAGGAGACUAGUACAAGAACAAAACAAAAGACGGAGACGAAGGAGAAAAGAACAAAAAUACCGAGAUGGCCACACAUACAUGGCUUGACAAACCUCAGGCGACUUCGAGUUGACCCGAAACUGGUAUUAACCGCAUGUUCUCUUUGAGAACAAACGAACAAUACUAGUUUCAGGCCCAAUCGUUCAUAGGAACUUGAGGACUUGAAAUGUUUUCUUUCCUUCAUUUUUAGAUUCAAGCUGGUCCGAUUCGGUGAGGAAUUUGGGAGAAAUAGUGGUGGAUUGGGACUUAGGGAUGGGUGGUGGUUGGAUUUUUGUGGUGGUUUGAGCUUCGCCACCGGCUGGAAAUGGUGAAGAAGUUCAGGGCGGCGGGUCUAGGGUUAAAGAUGAGGGAGAGGAGAUGAAGUACAGAGAUACGAGGUUCUUUGUAAAAUUUAGACAGUUAUAUCG